rnacentral:rRNA from 1 species
AGAGUUUGAUCAUGGCUCAGGAUGAACGCUAGCGGCAGGCUUAACACAUGCAAGUCGAGGGGUAUAUUUCUUCGGAAUUAGAGACCGGCGCACGGGUGCGUAGCGCGUAUGCAAUCUACCUUUCACAGAGGGAUAGCCCAGAGAAAUUUGGAUUAAUACCUCAUAGUAUUAUGGAAUGGCAUCAUUUUAUAAUUAAAGUCACAACGGUGAAAGAUGAGCAUGCGUCCCAUUAGCUAGUUGGUAAGGUAACGGCUUACCAAGGCUACGAUGGGUAGGGGUCCUGAGAGGGAGAUCCCCCACACUGGUACUGAGACACGGACCAGACUCCUACGGGAGGCAGCAGUGAGGAAUAUUGGACAAUGGGCGCAAGCCUGAUCCAGCCAUGCCGCGUGCAGGAUGACGGUCCUAUGGAUUGUAAACUGCUUUUGCACAGGAAGAAACAACAUUACGUGUAAUGUCUUGACGGUACUGUGAGAAUAAGGAUCGGCUAACUCCGUGCCAGCAGCCGCGGUAAUACGGAGGAUCCAAGCGUUAUCCGGAAUCAUUGGGUUUAAAGGGUCCGUAGGCGGUUUAGUAAGUCAGUGGUGAAAGCCCAUCGCUCAACGGUGGAACGGCCAUUGAUACUGCUAGACUUGAAUUAUUAGGAAGUAACUAGAAUAUGUAGUGUAGCGGUGAAAUGCUUAGAGAUUACAUGGAAUACCAAUUGCGAAGGCAGGUUACUACUAAUGGAUUGACGCUGAUGGACGAAAGCGUGGGUAGCGAACAGGAUUAGAUACCCCUGG